AGAGAUUGAAAGAGGAUAGAGGAAUUCCUAGUGUAGAGGUGAAAAUUCGUAAAUAUUAGGAGGAACACCAGUGGCGAAGGCGUCUAUCUGGUUCAAAUCUGACGCUGAGGCGCGAAGGCGUGGGGAGCAAACAGGAUUAGAUACCCUGGUAGUCCACGCUGUAAACGAUGNAUGUUAAAUAUGGGAAGUUUACUUUCUGUAUUACAGCUAACGCGUUAAACAUUCCGCCUGGGGACUACGGUCGCAAGAUUAAAACUCAAAGGAAUUGACGGGGACCCGCACAAGCGGUGGAGCAUGUGGUUUAAUUNGAUGCAACGCGAAAAACCUUACCACUCCUUGACAUGGAAAUUAUACCUAUUCGAAGGGAUAGGGUCGGUUCGGCCGGAUUUCACACAGGUGUUGCAUGGCUGUCGUCAGCUCGUGUCGNGAGAUGUUGGGUUAAGUCCCGCAACGAGCGCAACCCUCAUCCUUAGUUACCAUCAGGUAAUGCUGGGGACUUUAAGGAAACUGCCAGUGAUAAACUGGAGGAAGGUGGGGAUGAUGUCAAGUCAUCAUGGCCCUUAUGGAGUGGGCUACACACGUGCUACAAUGGUGGCUACAAUGGGCUGCAAAGUCGCGAGGCUAAGCUAAUCCCUUAAAAGCCAUCUCAGUUCGGAUUGUACUCUGCAACUCGAGUACAUGAAGUUGGAAUCGCUAGUAAUCGUGGAUCAGCAUGCCACGGUGAAUACGUUCUCGGGUCUUGUACACACUGCCCGUCACGCCAUGGGAAUUGGUUUCACUCGAAGCUAACGACCUAACCGCAAGGAGGGAGUUAUUUAAAGUGGGAUCGGUGACUGGGGUGAAGUCGUAACAAGGUAGCCGUAGAAUCACUAGUGAAUUCGCGGCCGCCUGCAGGUCGACCAUAUGGGAGAGCUCCCAA
rnacentral:rRNA from 1 species